rnacentral:misc_RNA from 1 species
GUUGGAAAAGAUAUUCCUUAUUCUACCAUGGCUUCAAGUAGUUGCUAGUGGGGGGGCACAGGUUCAAUGGCUAGGCUCUUUCUAUAAGUAACUGGUAAAAAGAAGAAGAUUAUUUCUAAUUCUACUAUAGGCUCAGACGGAAUUUAUUUAGGGACUCAUUGACAUACUAAAAGGAAUUUUAUGAUACUCUUGGCUGCUGUUGGUGGUUCUUGGAGCUUUUGUCUUGUCCAAGAAGGAUCAAG